AGUUCUUUUUUGUGUGUGUGUGUGUGUGUAUUACACGGGAAAAAAAAACCUAGGGAGAAAUUGACUGCCGGCUGGGAAUAAAAUUGGAAGAGAGGCCAAUAAAAAAGGCAGCCAACGAAGGGGAAAUAGAUACGCAACUGCCGGCUGGGGGAAAAAGGAGAGAAGAACUUGGGCAAAAAUUUGUCUUCUUGGGGAAAUUAAUAAGGCAGCAACUUGGAUUUUCUGAAAGAAAAAAAGAGGCAGCUGGAGGUUGAAAAUUGAGAGACACACAUAUAUACAUAUUGGCGGUGGGAGAGAGAAAGGGAAUAAAAAUUUGUUGCUGGAGGAAUUACACAUAUAUACAUUGGGAAGAAUAUUGGCAGCUUCUGUGUUUAUUUUGGAGGAGACAAAAGGCUAGCUGCUUGGAGAUUGAUUUACGCGCCAAUUAGGGGACAAAGGUGACGGCUGAAUUGGGCAUAAAUUUGAGAAAUAAACAUGCAAAUUGAAAGGAAUUUUGAAGAAACAGCACGACCACGACAGAUUCACUUUGGGAAUAUUAAUAAUGCUCCAUCAAUUGGUGAUCUCCUUCCACUUCUAUGUGUUUAAUUCCAAUGUGAUGUUAGGCUAAAUCUUGUCAUGUAUUUGAUGGAUGACAAAGUUGUUUAAUUCUUAGUUUUAAUUCAAAACUUGUGUUUUUGUCUUUAACUCGUGUUGUGAUUCCAGGAAUAUGCUGAUUUAUAUUGUUUUAAUGUUUGCUUAUCAUUAGGACAAUAAGUUGCUUAUUCGUUGUGUUGAAAAACUCACGAUAGGUAGAACACUAUUAUUGAGACACACAGACAAAAAAUGUUAGGAAUAACAAUUAUGACGUAU
rnacentral:lncRNA from 1 species